rnacentral:rRNA from 1 species
UAGGGAAUCUUCCGCAAUGGGCGAAAGCUUGACGGAGCAACGCCGCGUGAGUGAUGAAGGUCUUCGGAUCGUAAAACUCUGUUAUUAGGGAAGAACAAAUGUGUAAGUAACUAUGCACGUCUUGACGGUACCUAAUCAGAAAGCCACGGCUAACUACGUGCCAGCAGCCGCGGUAAUACGUAGGUGGCAAGCGUUAUCCGGAAUUAUUGGGCGUAAAGCGCGCGUAGGCGGUUUUUUAAGUCUGAUGUGAAAGCCCACGGCUCAACCGUGGAGGGUCAUUGGAAACUGGAAAACUUGAGUGCAGAAGAGGAAAGUGGAAUUCCAUGUGUAGCGGUGAAAUGCGCAGAGAUAUGGAGGAACACCAGUGGCGAUGGCGACUUUCUGGUCUGUAACUGACGCUGAUGUGCGAAAGCGUGGGGAUCAAACAGG